rnacentral:rRNA from 1 species
GACGAACGCUGGCGGCGUGCUUAACACAUGCAAGUCGAACGGAAAGGCCCUGCUUUUGUGGGGUGCUCGAGUGGCGAACGGGUGAGUAACACGUGAGUAACCUGCCCUUGACUUUGGGAUAACUUCAGGAAACUGGGGCUAAUACCGGAUAGGAGCUCCUGCUGCAUGGUGGGGGUUGGAAAGUUUCGGCGGUUGGGGAUGGACUCGCGGCUUAUCAGCUUGUUGGUGGGGUAGUGGCUUACCAAGGCUUUGACGGGUAGCCGGCCUGAGAGGGUGACCGGCAACAGUGGGAGGGAGAUCAGGCCGAGAGUGAUCAGGGAGGAAGAAGGGGGGGAGAGUGCAGCAGGGGCGGAAGCCGGAGGCAGCAACGCCGCGUGAGGGAGGACGGCCGGAGGGAGGGAGAAAGCUUUCGCCGGUGACGAAGCGGGAGGGACGGGAACGGGUAAAGAAGAAACCGCUAACUACGUC